rnacentral:lncRNA from 1 species
AUAGUUAUAUCUGAAUUAAUGUAGCCAAAAAUAGUCCCAGAGAUGUGCUAAGUAUAUAUAUAUAUAUAUAUAUAUAUAUAUAUAUAUAUUCAUAUUCAGUAUAGUUUAUAUUUUUCCUUACAGCUUUAAAAAUAGGACUUUUCUACACUUGUCAAAAAUAAGCAAGCACUGGAGGCACAAAAGAAUUUAUGGGUUGCCCAUGUGAUUGUUGUACUGAAUCCAUUUGUUUUCCUUUCCAAAAGUUACUGUUGUUUUUUCAAACACUGUAAGUCAAAAUUUUAUGAGUUAUUUCCAUAACCAUAAACCCAGAGAAUUAGUUGUCAAAUCAGGACUUUGUUUUUGACAUUUCAAGACAGCACUCAGGAACUAAUAUUGAAGAGCAAUACAGAGAUACACACUAGGUAACACCUGCUCCUUGUUCUACUCAUCCUAUAGCAGUGUACUGGACCACAGCCAUUGUAUUGGCCUUGUGACUGGAUUUCUGUGGGGCAGACUGACAUUGAGUGUCAUCAUCACAAUGAUACCUAUGAAAUGAUAACAGUGAAUCCUGUGCUAGUGGUUAAAGGUUCUUUCCUGAAUUGAUAUAUCAUUCCUGUUCAAGUCCUGAGACUACCUGAAGUCCCUAGUAAAGAAAUGUAUUAUAUAGAACCAAGCAGAGAGCAGCACUGCUGCAAUAUGAUAUUUUACUGAAUUUUGCUCAAGGUGUUGAGAAAAAUGUGUUCAUAGAACAGAUUUAAAGGGACAAUAAGGAAAAAACUCAGGAGUGGUGGUAUAUGACUUCAUUCACCCCAGGUUGGACACCAAUGACAGAUCAAAGACACAGUUCCACCCAAGUCUAGCUUAAUGAGCCAAAGGGUUUAUUGAAGUCACUUAUAGAACAUAGGUGACCGAAAGGACUGUUCCACAGCUGCUUUCCUUGUAGGCAAGAGCCACCUCACCCCAGCAGCGUCGGGUUCCCUAUGUAGCCUGGGAGAGGCUUGUGAGUGGUAAAUUUCCUGGGCUUCCUGGGGCUUGUAACUCUCACUCUUCCUCAGAGGAGGAAGUGUUUCAAUUCAGAGGAAAGAACUACAUAAUAACUGUUUGCUUCUUAAACUGACAAUGUGCCAGAUGGAAAUUUCCAAGUUCAGUUGUAGUUUCUCACAAGUCUACAAUUUCUCACCCUUUCCUCUCAAUGGCUUCUAAAACAGCUGUGGAGUCUGUCAUCCCAGUUCUUGGGAAGUGAAGAAGGGAGACUGAAGCUUAAAGCCAGCCAAUGAUACUUUGGGAGACCAUGUUGUGUUGCUGUGGGUUUUUUGGUUUUUUUUUUUGUUUGUUUGUUUUUUCUUUCAAGGAGGGAGGAGGAAAGCUAACGAGAAACUUACAAGGCAGGUAAUCAGAAGACUUCCAGGGGCUGUGUGCAAGUUGUUCAGGAGCUCCAGGGAUGCAGCUUAUGGAAGCCAUCAACAAUGCCAUUGAGUAACCUUUGUUCCUGCAAGUGACCUGUCAUCCACUAUUGGUUCACCAAGAUGGAGUUGGUUCUUCAGUCUGUUAAUCAGUGCUUUAUUUGGGUUUAUGGAUUGUUGUUCACAUCUCUUCCAGAAAAGUUACCCAUUAGACUGUCUUAAAAAUCAACAAAACAAAACAGGAGACUAUUUACUACAACCACUGCCACUAUUACCACCAAACACAUAUUGGCUCACAAAUUCUAUGAAUGAACUAUACUAAUAUAAUGCAGGAAUAAUCAGAGAAAUGGUUUGGGAAUGACAAUUUUAAUCAUUUUAGUUUUCCUAAAAACAUAAAUUUUAUUUCAUUUAAAAACGUAUACAUUAUUUAUUUGUCUGCCAUGGCAUAUAUGUGGAGAUCAGAAGGUAGUGUGGGGGAGUUGGUUCUUUCUAACUUUCCUACUAUGUGUGUUCUAGGAAUUGAACUCAGUUUGGCAGUUUUGGUGGCACCUUUAUCUGCUGAGCUAUCUCAAUGGCCAUUAAAAAAAAUCUAAUGUCAUUUUUAAAGUUCCUGUGAACAUUAGAAAAAAUGAAAUUUAUAAAACAGUG